rnacentral:rRNA from 1 species
UACAGAGGGUGCGAGCGUUAAUCGGAAUUACUGGGCGUAAAGCGUGCGUAGACGGUCAAGUAAGUCGGGUGUGAAAGCCCCGGGCUCAACCUGGGAAUUGCAUUCGAGACUGCGUGGCUAGGGUGCGGAAGAGGGAAGCGGAAUUUCCGGUGUAGCGGUGAAAUGCGUAGAUAUCGGGAGGAACACCUGUGGCGAAAGCGGCUCACUGGACCACAACUGACGCUGAGGCGCGAAAGCUAGGGGAGCAAACAGG